rnacentral:lncRNA from 1 species
CUGAGAAAUACGAAAGAAAAAGUAAAAGCGUCAAUAUAUAAUUUCGUCGUGGAAAAACUCUGUUGAAAGUAAGCGAUUGUUGGCAACCGCUCAGUGGGCGGCGUAACAGGGAAAAAGUUUUUAGAUGUCUCCGGGAAUGUCUAGCUGGUAGCCCUAUUUCCCUUUACGUCCCAUUGUAGCCCGCCGGCUAUCAAAUAAGUGCGCAAAGUGCUGUCUGGAGUAUAGACGUGUGCGUGGCAAGAUAAAUCCUGUAGUGCCUGGUACGUAUGUACAAUCAGGUCACUGAAAACAAUGGCGACUAUCGUCUAGUUGCUAAGUUACAAAUAAAGUCUGAGUCACGUAUCUAGGUGCGGAUAGCCGCCGUUGCGUGCCCGUGCAACGUCGCCACUGUUCCGAUUUCGUUGGCCAGAUUGCUUGCACUUACUUCAAAAUAACGUACGAUUCUGGGUAGAUGAGACAGUGUAGCAAUGUCUCAUUUUUGGAGUUUCGCUCUAUGUUCGCUUUCUCCCGAUAGACGCUAUCGUAUAGCAGAUGCAUCAGCGAAGGAUAUCGCCAUCAGAGCUUGCUUUCCUUGCAAUACCCGGCUGCUGGGACUGACUCGUACAGGUCAGCGCACACAUGAUGUUAUCGGAGCUCGUUCGUAUGCCAGUCAAUAGCGUACAACCCUUUUUCAAACAGUUCCUCGAUUUUGACGUUUGGACAGCUGGAUCUUAGCGUAUUCGUACAGCUUAAUUCUCAUAUCUCGCAACAGAAUCACAAAGUGACCAGCUACGCUUGAUGCGACCUUUUGUCAAACGAUGACACGGCGCCGGAUCACGCAAACUUGGGUUUGAGAAGUUUCGUGUUAUGCUUUCAACUCCGUCGUCACAUCAGGUACGGUGCGUGCGUGAUGAACCCGUUCGUUUUUGUUCGGAGCUAUUAUGUCUAGAGAUUAGAUGUUUCGUAACAGCUUAAUCCCGAACAGCCGUCAUCGAAUGGCCAGCAAGAUGGAAGGAGGUCGUACGACACAAUUCGAGGAAUCGUAUGAUUCAAGUGAUAGAUUCGGAGCAUAGGUCGGAUAAUCGGCGAACCACGGCAAGCAGCGAAAGGGCAAAGGAAACGAGGAUGGUAUCUGCGCGAUGAGUCUGAGGAUAUGAGCGGCGGGGGACUGUUCCGGCUGGGAGAGACCUAUUCGGACACGUUAGGACAUGAAGAAUUACCAGCCCAUCUUGGGGAUUGCAUCGAGUUGUUAUUGUUGUUGUAGCAAUAGAAGUCUAUGUGACCAUCACUUUCAUUUGGCAGCUAGUUGCGCUAUAUGAGCGUCUUGAACGUCUAAUAGAGCGAUGAAAGGCGAAUGUAUCAUAAUGGUUGAUACUGAUACUGGCCGAUAGCGGGGGCGGCGAUAUGGAAGUAAUAAGUCACCGACGCCCACUUUAAUCUAAUAUAGAAAUACCUACGUGCAUAAAUUAAUACGACUACGUCUGCGAGGACAGCAUUAGAGCGAUCCGAAUGUACGAUAUGCUGCCCUUAGCAGGCGGCGCGUCCGAUUCUGAAGAGUUGUGGCACAUAUAUUAAUGAAAUUUAUGAAGGAACUCGCCCCAUCUGCUCGUGCGUUCACAAUUUAUAACAGAAAUAAAGUACCUACCAUAUUGAGAAAUAGGUACGAUGUCGCUCGAAUCGAAUUAUGCCCAAAGCCUUUCUUUGAUAUAGUUUAUAUCAUUCGGCCGACAUAUGUGAAAUGGUACGUUGCCGCAGCUGUAGACGGGCCUAUUUGUAGUAAAUGAGUAAAAAUAAGGCAAGUUGUGGUUUACCGAAAAUGUUCUGGGCACGAUGCUGUUGACUGCUUAUUUUGACAUUAUGUUCUAAUAAAUUAAUUAAUGUUGUAAAAUCGAGUGUUCAAUUGGAAUUGUGCCUUGCUAUAGAAAAAAAGAUCAUAAACAAGCAAAUUGGACGAUUCAAGGCUUCUUUGCCUAAC